UCUGAGACAUCCUGGAGCAAGCAGGCAGUGGGCUGCUCUGUGCCUCCAAGAGUCUGAGAAGAACGUGCUUUCCCUGUUUCCAAAAAUUUCUGCCCUGCUCGAGUGACCUUGCCCUGUCAACUCACCCUGAAAAUUUCAGUGGUUUGGUUUCUAUGUGGUUUCUUCCAGCGUCCUCCUCUGAGAAACAGCAUCUGGAGUCCCCCAGGUGUUCCUGGUCAUGUACACUCAGCAGUAGGCUGGGCUAUGACUCAGCCUCCCUGUCUGGGCAGUGGUAGGCCAAGCUCCAGUGCCCAGCACAUCUUGUCUGAGGAUCCAAGCAGGCCGAGAGCUACUCCUCACAGAGUUACCUGGUCAGACUGCACCACUGUCUUGGCUCCGAGGAUAAGCAAAGCUACCUGUUGGGAAGACUACCUACCCUGGAUGCUGCAGGACUCAGGCAUGAUUCCAUGAUGGGCUGGAUGAGAAAAGGAAGUUGGAGGAGGUUGAUAUUAUGUUAAGAGUUUUCCAUCCCCACUACUAUUCAAGGCUUUGUUGUAUGUUGUCUACCUGAAUCUCUCCCAGAACACUUCUCAGUACUUUAUAUUAAGGGACAUCAGUGAUUUUAGGUUACUAAUUUCCCAGACCUUCUUUGAACACAGUUAGGACCAAGCUGGGCUUCUCUCACUCACAUGUCCCAGUGAUGCUAUGACUUUCCCAAGGGAAGUGUUUUCACCUUUCCAUCUCUAGCACCCAGAUGUGACAUUGACAGGCACUGAACAAAUCAAUGUCUAAUGAAUAAAUGUCAUGCAGCAGACAAUGAAAGACACCAGAUAUAUAGCCUCCAGUGGUGAAAUUUUCAUUAGUCCAUACUGAGAGACAUACUAUCACCGAGAAAGUAUUAUGGUCUGGGCCACAAUACACACAAAAAUGGCAGGAAAUGAGUGAGAGGUUUAAUGGGUACUGUUAAAGCAGCCAUGUGAAUCUUUCUGUAUGCUCUCUCCUAGGUGAUCUAUGCUCCUCAAAUCCCAUUUUAAAGCCUUCUUUUCCCAUUUUUUGAGCUGUUGAGCCCUUGUGUGGAAAUAGUGCUGUUCCUUUUUUCUAGUAUUUAAAAAUCUUCCUGGCCUUUCCUGUGAGCAUAUGUCCUCCUGCUUUGGCCCAGUUUUGAUGAUAUCUUUGGUAAUAUCUUUUAAGGUUUCAGUGUCAGUGAUCAGACGUACUGUCAUAUCCCUUCCAUUCUCAUGAGUAACAGAUUGCCCCAGAAUGUCCUAGAUGGGGGAAACAAACAUCUCAGAAGCUGUUCCCAUCGCUAUUUCAGGUGAUAACAAGGACUGGCAAGAUCACUUAAGAUGCAUGUAUAUAAGUUGUUAUGUAUGUAAUACUCCCUAAAGUGAAAUAGUCCCUGUGUCUUUUCCAACCUUAGGGAGGCACAAAUGGUUCCCCCACUGCAUCCAGGUGAAGUUCCAGUUCAUUUUCCCUGGCUUUCACAGCAAUCACCAUUGUGA